rnacentral:rRNA from 1 species
UACGUAGGGUGCGGGCGUUAAUCGGAAUUACUGGGCGUAAAGCGUGCGCAGGCGGCCUCUUAAGUCAGAUGUGAAAUCCCCGGGCUUAACCUGGGAACUGCGUUUGAAACUGGGAGGCUUGAGUGUGGAAGAGGGGGGUGGAAUUCCACGUGUAGCAGUGAAAUGCGUAGAGAUGUGGAGGAACACCGAUGGCGAAGGCAGCCCCCUGGGUUAACACUGACGCUCAGGCACGAAAGCGUGGGGAGCAAACAGG